CCCUAAUGAUCUCACUUUUCUCUAUUUGUGCAGUGGCGUUGAUUCACCAAUCCAUGGUUAUGAAGCUAUAUUUCCACAUACCUUCAUGUUGUAGUAGUUUUUACUUAAGUGUAGUUGUCCAAUGUCAGAUUUAAAAACCAAUAAAGGCAUAUAGAGAGAGUUUGUUUCAGAAAAGGUACCAAAUCCAUCCAAACAAAUUUUACAGGAGUCAAAAGAAUGCAAAGGACAAGCAUUCCUUUGCUAUAAAAUACAAUUUUCCAAGACCUGUACUGAAGUGAUUUGAUACAUUUUGAUCUGUACACAAUAUUCUACCAACAAUGUGCUGCCACCUACAACUGAUUUUUAUUUUAUUUUUUGCAUUUGGUUAUAUAGAUACUAGGCUUGAUCGAUCCAUGAAAAAUUUGAUUCUAAACUCGUUUCAAAACUAGAGGGGGCAGUUUUUUCGUUUUUGUUGCUAAUAACGAAUUUGGCCCCCAAAAUUUUUCGAAAUUAACGAAAAUUCGUUAUUUUCUAAAUUAAUUCGUUAAUGGCGUACGCGCAUGCGCGGUGGCCCAAAAACAGCCCGAAGGGGGGGGGGACUUAGGGGGCUCUCCCGCCCUCAUUUUUUGAGUGAUCUUCUUCAAACUUGGUACAGUGGUAGAACACAUUUAACACUGAUAGCUCACCAAAAUGUGGAACGUUUCCCUUAUCCUCUGAUUUUUGGCAAAUUUUCAUAGCUUUUAUAAUAAACCUUUUUUUAAUAAUUGCAGUAAUCUGUUCCUGGUUUGAAAGUCUUAUUUCCUGUUAAAUUGGGUUGUCUUUACUGUGAAAGUCAUUGUUCUACUUCAGAAACUUUGUUUUUGUGACUGAAACUUUGUUAAAUUGGUGUGUGUGUGAUAUAUAUUGUGUAUAUAUAAUAUAUAUAUAGUCCCUGCUUGUGUGUGUGUGUGUGUGUGUGUGUGUGUGUAGGUAAAGGUAAAGGUAUCCCUUGACGUUAAGUUCAGUGAUGUCUGACUCUGGGGGUUGGUGCUCAUCUCCAUUUCUAAGCCCAAGAGCCAGUGUUGUCCAUAGACACCUCCAAGGUCAUGUGGCCGGCAUGACUACAUGGAGUGCCAUUACCUUCCCAGAAACACCCAGAAAAUGGCAAUUCCAGACAGGAAACAAUCAGGGCCAGCUAAUACCUCCCAACAAAGGAUUCCCCCAGGUAGGAAGCAGCCAGGCUUUGAAGCUGCAAGGCUAUUCAAUGCUAAUCAAGUGUGAAUGUUGCAAUUGGUCACCUUGAUUAGCAUUGAAUAGCCUUGCAGCUUCAAAGCCUGGCUGCUUCCUACCUGGGGGAAUCCUUUGUUGGGAGGUAUUAGCUGGCCCUGAUUGUUUCCUGUCUGGAAUUCCCAUUUUCUGGGUGUUGUUCUUUUACUGUCCUGAUUUUAGCUUUUCUGUAGCUAAAAAUGCAUAUAAAAUUGAUUCUAUAGGGAGGAUAAAUGAUUGGAUUUCAACUCCUACAGCUUGGCUUUCUCUGCCAAUAAUGGUACCCAUCUUGGAUAUUGUAAGGGAUUUAUUAUUAUUAUUAUUAUUAUUAUUAUUAUUAUUAUUAUUAUUAGACCUUGCUCCCAGGAAGGUGCCUUCGCUGUGGCUCCCAACUUAUCUAUCUAUACCUUUCCACAUAUUCUCCACAUUGUGUGUAUGUGUAUGUAUAUUAUAUAUACAUGAGCCCCGAUGGCGAAGUGUGUUAAAGCACUGAGCUGCUGAACUUGCAGACCGAAAGGUCCCAGGUUCAAAUCCCGGGAGCAGAGUGAGUGCCCGCUGUUAGCUCCAGCUUCUGCCAACCUAGCAGCUUGAAAACAUGCCAAUGUGAGUAGAUCAAUAGGUACCGCUCUGGCGGGAAGGUAAUGGCACUCCAUGUAGUCAUGCCGGCCACAUGACCUUGGAGGUGUCUAUGGACAACACUGGCUCUUGGGCUUAGAAAUGGAGAUGAGCACCAACCCCCAGAGUCAGACAUGACUGAACUUAACGUCAAGGGAUACCUUUACCUUUACCUAUACACACACACACACAAACACACACACACACACAUAUGCAGGGACUAUAUAUAUAUACACAGUAUAUAUCACACACACACCAAUUUAAUAAAGUUUCAGCCACAAAAACAAAGUUUCUGAAGUAGAACAAUGACUUUCACAGUAAAGACAACCCAAUUUAACAGGAAAUAAGACUUUCAAACCAGGAACAGAUUUCUGCAAUUAUUAAAAAUGGUUUAUUAUAAAAGCUAUGAAAAUUCGCCAAAAAUCAGAGGAUAAGGGAAACGUUCCAAAUUUUGGUGAGCUAUCAGUGUUAAAUGUGUUCUACCACUGUACCAAGUUUGAAGAAGAUCACUCAAAAAAUGAGGGUGGGAGAGUCCUGUAAAGUCCUCUCCCUCUGUGCUGUUUUUGGGAAUUGCGCAUGCGCGUCCGCCAUUAACGAAUUAAUUUAGAAAAUAACGAAUUUUCAUUAAUUUCAAAAAAUUUUGGGGGCAAAAUUCGGAAAUACCUUCAAAAACGAAACGCUGCCCCCCUCUACUUUUGCAACGAGUUUAGAAUCAAAUUUUUCGUGGAUCGAUCAAGCCUAAUAUACAAUAUACAAUAUAAUAUACAAUAAUAUAUAAUAAUUAUAACAUAUUGUAUAUACAGUAGAAUCUCACUUAUCCAACAUAACCGGGCCGGCAGAACGUUAGAUAAGCGAGUAUGUUGGAUAAUAAGGAGGGAUUAAGGAAAAACCUAUUAAACAUCAAAUUAGGUUAUGAUUUUUCAAAUUAAGCACCAAAACAUCAUGUUUAACAAAAAAAAUUGACAGAAAAGUAGUUCAAUACUCAAUAAUGCUAUGUAGUAAUUACUGUAUUUAUGAAUUUAGCACCAAAAUAUCAUGAUGUAUUGAAAACAUUGACUACAAAAAUGUGUUGGAUAAUCCAGAACGUUGGAUAAGCGAGUGUUGGAUAAGUGAGACUCUACUGUUCAUAUAAUAUUCAUAAUAUUAUAUUGUAAUACAAUAUAAUACUAAUAAUACAAUAUAUUGAUACAGUACAAUAUAGUAAUUUAUUACCAGUAUUGUACUAGGCUAAUAAUAUAAUAUUGUAUGUAAAUUUAAUUUGUAAGCUGCUCUGAGUCCCCUUUGGGGUGAGAAGGGCGGCAUAUAAAUGUAGCAAAUAAAUAAAUAAAUAAAUUGUUGAACAAAAAAAAAUGAACAUAUAUUAUAUACUAUACAAUAGUUGUCAUCACAAACCAGCAUAACCAGACAAACUGUGAAUCUUAUCAAGAAUUUCUUGUUAUUACCAUUAUUUCCAUGUACAACACUCUAUGGUAUAUACAUUUACCAAUCCCGCAUACUCUGGUGUUCUGUUCGGCGGGCAUGCUUCCAAAAAAAAACUUUGCUAGGUCUUACUUUCAGGGGAGGCCUUAUAUUUAGCAAUUCAGCAAAAUCUCUACUAUGUCUUAUUUUCCAGGGAUGUCUUAUUUUCGGGGAAACAGGGUAAGAGACACCAUUUUAGUAUAUCAUUGUAUAUGAUGGGAUUUGAGCAUCCAUGGAUGUUGAUAUCCAGGAAGAAUAUCAGAACCAAACCCCAGUGAUACCAAGGGCCUACUGUAUUCAUUUGUAUCAAUCCUUCCAUUCCACUAUACAGUAGAGUCUCACUUAUCCAACAUAAACAGGCUGGCAGAACGUUGGAUAAGCAAAUAUGUUGGAUAAUAAGGAGAGAUUAAGAAAAAGCCUAUUAAACAUCAAAUUAGGUUAUGAUUUUACAAAUUAAGCACCAAAACAUCAUGUUAUACAACAAAUUUGACAGAAAAAGUAGUUCAUUACACAUUAAUGCUAUGUGGUAAUUACUGUAUUUACGAAUUUAGCAACAAAAUAUCAUGAUAUUUUGAAAACAUUGACUACAAAAAUGUGUUGGAUAAUCCAGAACGUUGGAUAAGUGAGACUCUACUGUACCUGCUAUCCUCAUUAAGUCUUUCACACUGUGGUGGGCAGUGGUUGAGAAAAGUACAAAGUCAAACAUACAACAAUAGCAACAACGGCAAGAGAGAAUGAAGGAGGUGCAGAAAGAGGAAGCCAUGAAUUGUGGUAGCUGUAACUUCAAUUCCAGAGCUGGGGAAAUCUAGUUCCUGAUAAACAUGAUUCAAAUUCUCUGAUAAUACUGGUCAUUUUUCAAAUGUUAUAGCAGAUCGUUUUGGAGUUAUUGUGGGCUUGGAUUUAUAUGACGUUGUUAUUGAGUUUAUAUACAGUGUUGGUUUGAUUAUUGUAUUGGGGCUCAAAACAUUUGGUGUGUUUACCCAAAACAUUUCCCUUCACAAGAUAGAUGACAAGCCCUACUCUAACUGAAUGUACAAUGGCUAAUCAUAAACAGUAGGUUUAUAAAGUGAUCUACUAUGUUUGGUACCUAGACUUGAAAUGCUGUCUAUCAGGAUGGAGGCUCAUCUUCCAUGACAAAGCCAAAGAGGAGAGGGGAAAGAGAGCAGAAGCAUGCUUUCAGUUGGAAAUGACAUCUGAGAGGGGGAGCUGGACUGGGAGGAGUAGUUGUAUUGUCUUUUGUAUGAGCCCAGUGCCAGAGUAAAUUUAGCAAAUGGCCUAAAACCAAUUGCUAAUCUCAUCCAGAGCAGCCCUAUUGUUUCAAUGUCAGACCAUGGACUGUGGAUGUUACCAGUAUUCCCUUGUGCCAACUACAUGAUCCAAAAGUUGAUUCUUGUUUCUCAUAUGUUGCUUAUAAAUAAGUGUUGUUUAAAAUAUUAAAUGAAUUUUGGCAUUAUAUUUUGGCAAUAUUAAAGGAUUUUAGCCAUGUCCCCCUUCACUGAUCUUUCCUAAGAUGCCUUAUACCAGUGGUUCAAUCUUUGACCCUCCAGGUGUUUUGGAUUUCAUCUUCCACAAUUCCUAACAGCUGGAACACUGGCCAGGAUUUCUGGGAGUCAGAAACUCCCAGAGGACCAGUUGGGAACCACUGCCUUAUACUAUAUCCUAUAAUAUCAAAUAUGAAAACUGAAGUCAUCUGCAGAUCAGCUAAGGAAAGAUGAAAAAGACAUAGUGUCUAUCCAAACAGGUCUGGGGAAUAUAUUAUUAAUAAUAAUAGUGCACAACCUGGAAAAGAAGCCCAUAAGUUCUACUUGCCUCUUCCCCUCCUGAGAAGAAAGCAGGAAGGAGGCAUAUAAUAUAUGCCUCCCUCCUGCUUUCUUCAAUAUUUUCAAAGCAUGGUCUCAGAAAAUACAUAAUGCAGUAACUUUGAUAGAGCUAAUUCCAUUAUGUAAUGAAUGCAAGAUGAACAUUCAAUAGAUAAACAAAGUAAUAUCUUGUGUGUAUGUGUACUCAACAAAGGGUGCAUUCUAGAGAUUAGAUGGUGCUACUUUUCAAUAUAUAGGUUUUCAAUAUAUAGACCAUAAAAGCAAAGUUCAUCAUGGAGGUAUGGCAAUAAUAUGUAUCUAGUUAAUUGUAGAGAAGGAAAUUUGGCUUAUAUGUACACUCCACCAAACCAACACCUUCCACAAGGAAUGUUGUAAAUCAGCUUUUUUCAAGAUGGUACCCUCAAAGUGUUACUCUUAUCAGCCUAUGACUUUUCCUCCUGAUGAUGUAAAAUGCAUAAUAAACACUGCCAUGGA
rnacentral:lncRNA from 1 species